rnacentral:misc_RNA from 1 species
GAUGAAGAACGUAGCGAAAUGCGAUAAGUAAUGUGAAUUGCAGAACUCAGUGAACCAUCGAAUCUUUGAACGCACAUUGCGCCCCCUGGCAUCCCGGGGGGCACGCCUGUCCGAGCGUCAUGCGACCCUGUCGGGUGCCCUCUCGGGACACUUGUGUCCCGGGUCGGUCCCCGGUGUUGGAUCCGGCGCUGUCGCCCCUAAUCCCGGCGACGGUCGCCGAUCCGAAAUACGACCACCGUGUGACGGUCCGCCCCGUCCGAGCCACCGAGGCAUCUCGCCACGGCUCGGGACGACGGGUGCGGGAAAACUGAACGGUUGACCUCGGAUCAGGUGGGGAUACCCGCUGAACUUAAGCAUAUCAAUAAGCGGAGGA